GAUCUCCUCAUUCCUGAGCUAUGCAAGUUAGCUCUGUCCUCGCUGUGAGCACAGAUCGUAAAACAUUAUGUUAGCAGACUAAAAAUAAAUAUAUAUUUGCAAUCACUUGCCAGCUCCAUGUGCUUCUCACAAGAACAUUUUACUCGAUCGGUUCCAUCCUAUUAAUCCUGCUGUGAACGAACUGCUGGAGGGGGAUACUGGACAUGAGCUCUAAUAUGAAAGGAUGCGAAAAUCCCUCUUUUCCCCAAGCCCCCUUCUUACCUUCAGUGCCGUGGCUGCAAAAGAUAUCCCUAUGCACGGGCUUCUCAGCACAUCACCACGGCGGUUAGAAUAGCGAAGGCUGCCCCACUGCAUGCAAGUUGGAGUGCUUUGCAACAGCAAAUCCUCGAUCCAGAACACAAGCUGCUUCUUCCCGUGCAGUGAACCGAGCACGAUUCAUAAGCGACUUCCACAUAGGGAACAAAAUAGUAAAAGAAAGAGGGGGAAAAAAAGAAAAAAAAAGAAAAAAAGAUUUCCUAACUUUUGGUUUCAGCUGAGUUUUGCAUGCAGUUGAAGAACAAUAUUUGUCAUGAAGAUUUCAUCUAAGUCUUCCUUGAAGCAGAAUGAAUUCCAGACUCGAGACCUCAUCUAAAUCAAACUGGAAUCUGUAUUAAGCUCAGAGUACAUUUUCAUUGUGUUUAUGUUCUACUUAUUUUUUUUUUUUAUUUUUAUUUUGCUGGCUGAAAUUAGCAUGUAUGGAACACCAAGUGUAGGGGACUGAGCUGUAUUCUUCUCUCCAGGAUAGUAAGUAAGUAAAUGAAAAAAUAAAUGAAAGAAAACAAAUCACAGAGUGAAUCUACAUGACUAUGGUAUAUCUGCAUACUUUACAGUACUGCAGGUUUAUAGCUGAGUUUCUGCAGGAUUAUUUCCUUCUACCUACAACCCAAUAGACUAUGACAGUACUGAAAAUUUCCAAGGAACCAAAAUUGGUAGGCCAUGAUGAACAAAAGUCUGAGGCAAGCACACUGGCGGAGAAUCUGUGCAAAUAGUUCUUGCUGUGUACUGCUACAAAGUGCUUAAUAAUUCCCAUUCCAAAGAUUGCUGUAUAAUAGUAGCGAGUGAGGUUGUUCAAUUGGAAAAUGCUUGGGAUUGUUUUGGAAGACAGAGUUAUGCAGAAAUGCAUGGCACUGAGAUAUAGAUUCCUUUCCUUCAAUUUAUAUAACAAGAUGUUUCUUAUUAAGUUUUUCACAGGAUUAUGUAACACACCUUUCAAAACAAGAGCAUGAAGAGGUAUAUUGACAAGAAAAGCUAACAUUUCCCCUGGUCAUAACUGGAUGUCACAUUGAUGGUCAGGUUUGGAAACACCACCAGUCAGUAAUUAACAAACAGGAGCCUGCAUUCAGUUUGCCACAUGGGAACAGUGUAGAUUACUGUAUCACUCUUACCUGACUUUUGUUUGACCUCAUAGGACAUUAUGGUCUAUCAUUUAAGUCUUGGCUAUUACUCAUGGAUGCUAUAUCUGCCUGCUGAAAAUAUAGUUCUGCCAAACAAAAUCUGAAAUUGCAUUUAUGUGUGGUUUUUGUUUUUCAUCAAAACAUCACCUGUACUUCUGUGAAAUAUGCAUAAAAGUUAAAUCAUGAGAUACGUGCAGGCAGAAAAUUCCUAUUCAGAACAAAAAUCAUUAAUAAUAAUGAUAUAUAGCAAAUAAUUUUUCGAUGGUAACUUCCUCUUGUUUCUAGAGUUACUUUUGUAACUGCUGAACAAAUAUCUAUAUUUGUUAUCCUCCUGAAUGCAGAGAAAAGUGGGCUAUCAUUUACUCUUGCUAGAUGCUUUGAGCUCUCUCAGAGAGCAUGUGGUAAACUGAAUGCAGGCCCCUGUUUGUUGUUUACUGACUGGUGGUGUUUCCAAACCUGACCACUAAUGUGACAUCCAGUUACGACCAGGGGAAAUGUUAGCUUUCUCUAUGCCAGUUUAUGUGGAACAAAUCUAAUAUAAGAAGUUAAUAAAACUCACACUGUUAAAAUGCUUAUGAAGAUUAAAGACAUGCUUGUAAAAGGUUUUUGAGAUAGUGUAAAAAUACCAAUGGGUGGUUAUGGUCGGCAACUAUUAGAACUGGAAAGAAGACUUUAGAAUCUUAAUGAUAGAGAGAAUGUAAGUUAUAGGUACACCCAGUAAAGUGGCUGUGUGUUGAUCACAUUAGGGUGUUCUGUCUUACUGUGUCACAAAUUAAUACAAAAAGUGAUGUGCAGUAUCAAGCAGUAAAUAAUUUAGAGUGAUUUUUGUGUGGAAGUUUCCCAAUCAUCCCACAAAGAAUGCUCAGCAUUUUUUGAAAAUCAAGUGCCUUUAACAAUAUCAAGCAAGGGAUGCACUAGUGCUAUUCAUUUUUAACAUCAAAGCUUGUAUUUCUACUGGUUUAUCAGUUUUCCAUUUAAUAGAAGGAAGAAAGGCUUCUUGCAUAUGAAACUGCUGCAAAAUAUGUUUCCCCAAACAGUGUACAUUGAAUAAUAUUUUAACCCACUGCAAAACCAGUUUAAUUUAUUGAAAAUGUGAUUACCAUUAUUCAAAAAAAUAUGCAAGAUGUAAAUAAUUUAUUUAAUGAAGAAUUUGAGGUGAUUUUGUAUGGCUAUCUGCAGAUGGCUGCAUUUCUCAUAGCAGAAUCGCUAGAGGGAGUCAUAGGCAAUGAUACUCCUUCAGGAUCUCAAACAGGUUUGCAACUGAAAAAUUAGAAGAGGAUUUUAGGUAAUAUUUAGCAGAAAAAGAAUACCAGAUAAUUGUAAUCUCUGUAAUUUAAUUUCGCUCUCUAGUUACUGAUUAUUAAUGAAACUAGUUUGGUCUCAGAAGACACCUAUAGCAAAUCAUGAUUUUGCAUAAGAAACAACCACAACAAACCAGCAAGAUAGAUGUCCCACAUAAGAAUUUAAAUUAACAUAUUUUUCAGUUAGUAUUAACGUGGGUGCAGUGCUGAGAAUGUGCUCACAGGAAUUUUAGAGCAAAUAGCAAAAGAAAAAUCAAACAUGAAUAGAAAUCAGUUAAAAGUGUAUUUGUCAGUCAUUUUUACCAAGGUUUCUGCACCUUUGUCUAAUUAAGUUUAGCCUAGGGCCUCCUUUGCUUUUAUGUUUAAUAUGUAGAUUUCAGUGCAGUAGAACAAAACUAGUUUUAUUCAAGAUUUAUGUAGCAGUAGGACAAAAAGGCUCAUUGGGAAAUAUAUACAUAUAUUGAAUUUUUGCUGUCCUAAGUAAUUUCCACAUUGAAUCCAAGCUGUGGAUUCACAACAUUUCUCACAACUAGGAGAACUAGGAAAAGAAUAUGGUUCUCAUCCUUAAUCCUAGCAAGUUUUGAAUGCAAUGAAAUGAUAUGCUGAUCUACUGUGAUAUUUUGUAGAUAAAACAUUUGAUUUAUAAUAAGGCAAUCAUCAAAAAGAUAUAUAUCUGUAUAUAUAUAUAUAUAUAAAUAUAUUUUUUUUAACACAAGUUUUCCUAACGAAGUCUAUGACAUCAAGCUGCGUGGUGCAGUCAACACUCCUGAGAGAUGGGAUGCUAUCCAGGGAAACCUAGAGAAGCUUGAAUAGUGAGCCCAAGAGAGCCUUAUGAGGUUCAACAAAUCCAAGUUCAAGGUCUUCUACUUGGGUCUUGGCAACCCCCCACUAUCAAUACAAGCUGGGGAAUUAAAGGAUAGAGGACAGCCCAGCCCAGCCUUGUGAAAAGGACUUGGGACACUGGCCGAUGGUAAGCUGAACAUGAGCCAGCAAUGUGCGCUCACAGCCCAGAAAGCCAACCAUAUCCUGGGCUGCAUCAACAGCAGUGCGGUCAGCAGGGAAAGAGAGGUGACCCUGCCCUCUACUCUGCUCUGAUGUGACCUCACCUGGAGUGCUGUGUCCAGAUGAGGAGUCCUCUGUACAGGAGAGAUGUGGACCUGUUGGAGAACAACCAGAGGAGAGACACAAAAAUAAUCUAAGGUAUAGAACACCUCCCCUAUGAGGACUAGGAGAGCUGGGGCUGUUCAGCCUGGAGAAUAGAAGGCUCCGGGGAGACCUGAUAGUGGCCAUUCAGUAUAUAAAGGGAGCUAUAAGAAAGAAGGGGACAGAUUAUUUAACAGAGUCUGUUGUGACAGGACAAGGGGAAAUGGUUUCAAACUAAAAGAGGGGAGAUUUAAAUUGAAUAUAAGGAAAAAGUUUUUACAAUAGGAUUUGUGAAGCACUGGAACAGGUUGCCCAGAGAGGUUGUGAGUGUCCUGUUCUUGGAGACAUUCACGGUCAGGUUGGAUGGUGUUCUGAGCAACUUGAUAUAGCUGUAGAUCAGCCUGUUAUUUGCAGAGGAACUGGACUUGAUGACUUCUAAGGGUCUCUUCCAACUAAAAUGAUUCUAUGACUCUAUAAUUGGUAGCUACCAAUAUAGCCUGAAGAUCUUAAGUUAGCACUCAUCCAGUGAAAUUAGAGUGUGCUCCUUUUUGGAGUCUAAUAAUAAAUGCAGUUUAAAGUAACAAACAACUUUGUACUUGUGGUACUUCAUAACACUGAAGCACAGCUUGUUUCCAAAAGAUAGCUACUUACAUUAGCUACUUGUUUGAAAAGAAUAUGAGACAAAAAAUGUACUGGUGACAAUUUUCUUAAGUGUCGUAGGUAUACAGUUUAAAAAUAUGUGUAAUUAGCUGUACCCCAAUGGCAUUUAUGGCUGUGAUGCUUUUUUACAGACAUAAUCAUGGUAAUAAAAGCCCUAGGAGUUGAUCUGGUGCAAAAAGGAUUCAUCUGAACUCCUGAAUUUAAACUAUUUUUAAACUCAUGUUAAUCAAAGAUUUCUAUGCUUUCUUAUUUUAGCUGUAUCAGUAUACACUGCCAGACUCAAGCAACUUAUUUUAGCCUAAGCAUUUAAAUUUCAUAAAAUUUCUCUAAAAAUUAACUGGAAAAUAAAAACAGGUCUACAGAGUGCUAAGAUAGUGGUGUUCAGAGUAGUGCAAGUGGUGUUAAGAGCUGUUGGACAAAAAAAUAGAUAUCAAGACACUUCUCAGCUCCUGUAUUUGUGUUCAGUGGAUUAGAUCAGAGUUUUAAAUUUUAAUCCCAUAUAUGACAUGAGGCCAAUUCCUAGAGAGAAACCUUUUGCUUUUACUUUGGAUUAAAUGUUGCUGAGUUUUUCUCAUAUUCGUAGCUGUGUUAUUUGGAACUGUUUCACAGAAUCAUAGAAACAUAGAGUCGCUCAGGCUGGAAAAGACCAACUGCAACCUAACUGUACUACCCUAACUGAAAUGGGAAGGGAUCUCUGCAUCCAACUGGUCCAACUCCUGUUCCAGAAGGGCACUUAGAGCAUGCUGCCCAGGACCAUGUCUAGGUAGUGUUUGAAGGUCUCCAAGGUGGAGUCCCCACAACCUCUCUCUUUGCCCUCUCCCUUCAACUAUUUGUACACAGUGAUAAGAGCCUCUUCUCCAGGCUGAACAGUCUCAGCCUAAAGCGUAUGGAAUAUGACCAUAAUUUGAGAAGAGUAAUCUAACUGCCUAAAAAUGCAUAAGAUAAGCUCUGAUUCCAGCCCAACAAUGGAUCUUUGGUAUAACUUAGAAAAAAAAUGCAAUUUCUUCAGUUUUGAAUUUUAUAAUUAAGAAUAAAAAAUGAAAAUAGUCCAUAUUUACCAUUAUUUUCAUUUACCACCUUCACUGUUAAUGACUUUAUAUAUACAGCUCAACAGGAAAACCUCUAGCUACUCUAGGCAGCUGGGGUUUGUAAUUAUUACUCUAAUUAUUCAGAAUGCCUGUAUUUGAGUUUAGCUUCUGCCAUCAUGAUCAAUACUUUUGACUUGAUGGCCUUGUGAAAUUCUGAUAUUUGCAUUCUUUAUAUUUUUAGAGAAGACAGCAAUCAGAAAGAAAUCACUGUCAUGUUUUUGAUGGUUUUGUUUGUAUACAUUGAAGAAAUGUAAAGUCAGGACAAGGCAAACUAGGAGAAAGCUGCUCUUUCUUCAUAACAUUACCACUGAGUGACUUUAAUUGCUUUAACUAUAUAAAGAGAGAACUCAGACUUACAAGUUAUUGAAGCUUAACAAACAUAACUCAUCAGCUGACCUUAAGUAACUGACCAAGUCAUUCCCCUCUGCCCAUGGCAAAGGCCUGGUAAAAUAUGUUAGCUUAUCUUUAUAACACACUCCCAUGCUGCAGUUAGAAUGGCUUAGACCACACAGGUAGUAGUUGCCAUGGAUAAGCUUAUACUAUUCUUUAAAGCAUUGCUGUUACAGUCACUGGUGUGCCUGAGCCCCUGCUUAUAGCAAUAUAUUUCUGCUUGUAAAAUUCCCUCCACAGACAAGACCAGCUUUUGCUUUUAUCAUUAUUUCAAUCACUUUAGUGUAGAUCCAAUUACACAGGUAUAAGAGUGUUUCUACUGGCAUACCCUGGCAUCAGUACAACAGCAGUUAAACACAUAACUCUAGAAUCAGGAUAGAUGUGUGAAUAACAACAUCUGAUCAACAGCCAUGCUGACAAAAUUUAAACGAGAUCAAGCUUAAAUCUUAUCCACCUCUGACAAUGGCAAUGCAUGUUAUGUGCCAGGCUUACUGGGCAUGAGAGGACAGUAUGACCAGAAGCUGAUUCAGGAAAACUUCCCUCAUGCAUGUUUAAUGCAAGUCAGAGAUAUUCAUCCCUAGCUGUGCUGUAGACAGUGGUGUCCUAACCCAAAACCACAUGCAUGGCAGCAAUAAAUGCCAAAUUUAUGACUACCACCAGAGCAUAUACAUAUACAUUAUGGCAUUGUCUAUCUAUAACUAUAUACUGUUGUGUAUUACAUUUCCCAAUGAGCUCUGCAUUCUUUUGUUAUGUGAAACAGAGAAAUAGACUGUAGAUCACGUUAGAUACGGAUUUUCUGCUUACCAAAGCCAUGGGUCAAUACACUAGAAGGCAAAGGUGAAGUACUACUGUAGUCUUUUUCCACUUUCGCUUCUAUACAUUUCCUUGCAAUGUGUUGUAAAUGAAGAGCAGAGGCCAUGAUCUGUAUUAGACCUGAACUAAAACUGUCUCACUUUGGUCUAUGAAAAAAAAAAUCUCAGCUUGUAAUCUGUACUGCCAUGUAAUUCAGGUCAUAUUCUAUCCAUAGUUAAACAAAAUGCUUUACCUGAACUGAAAAUAAAGUAUGCAUUGCUGCUGAUAUAUCUGCCAAAUUUAAAACAUGAUAUUAACUAAAGUCGACAGCAUAAGCCACUCAAACAAGCCCUGAGGGAGUCCAAAAUGCUCCUUAAUAUUUAUUUUUCAUAUUUGAUUGCAGGUUAUGCACAGGUAAGUGUAGUACUACCCUGAGGGUUUUAAGUGUAACGUAGUCAACCAUGAUAAUACCUUCAGUAUCUCAGAAGACAGUUCUCACAAUGACUAAUAUGAAAUGAAAGCGAAGCUGAGUGUUUUUCAGACUAGUGUUAAGUUUCCUCUACAGUUAUUUUAGUAGGUUUCCGAAAUGCUUUUGGUGUUUGCCUGUGAGUAAGAGAAAAACAAAUACUUUCCUAUAUCUAUCACAGUAUUUUCCAGCACUCAAAGAACCCUAACAUUAACUUGCUUUUAUAGCCCUGUAAUACACGAGAAAUCACUAUCCUCAUGAUCUUCCACUACUUCCUGUAAAAAUUUAGACUGGUGUUUCCCUGUCAUUUACUCAGAAAUGAAUCACUAACAGUUAGCACAUAUGCAUGUAGUAGUGACAAAAGAAAAUGAGCUGGAAUUAGUCUACUUCAGGUGUUCCCGUCCAUUUUAACCUCUCACAAUGGUAAAACAUGGAAGAGAUAGUCACAAAAAUACCAUGUUUUUAAAGAUAUUUUUCUAAAUCUUAAUUAUUUAAAAAGUAAAAUGUAAUAUCAUAACACAUUUAAAUAUAUUCAUACACAUUAGACAGACAUUGAAAAACAGUUAUGUCCCAGAAGAAAACAGUCUUCAGGUCAACCCUACCAGCUCUGGCUGCUCUAAGUUGCUCAACUGCUUCAAACAGACCUACUUCUGGCUUAACAGUGAGCGAAUUUCAAGCAGAUUUGUAUUGUUAGGAUAGCACAGAACACUAAAAAGUAUUACCUAAUUUUAUCUCUAAUAAGACAAAAAAAAUGAAAAAGAAGGUAAAGGACAAAGUUAAGCCUAGGCUUCUUACAUAGUUUUUUGGUAGGAGUUAUACUUGCAUAAUGGGAUCAACAAAAAUUAAUAGGCUGAAUCUUGCCCCUUUACUCCACACUACUGAGGCCUCACCUGGAGUACUGCAUCCAGAUGUGGAUUCCUCAAUACAGGAGAGAGACAGACCUGUUGGAGUGCAUCCAGAAAAGGGCCACAAAAGUGAUCCAAGGGAUGGAAUACCUCUCCUAUGAGCACAGACUGAGAGAGCUGGGGCUGUUCAGCCUGGAAAAGAGAAGACUGUGAAGUGGCCUGAUAACAGAAUUUCAGUAUCUAAAGUGGAGAUACAGAAUAGAAGGGGACAGACUUUUUAGCAGAGUCUGUGAUGACAGAAGUAGGGGAAAUGGCUUCAAGCUCAAAGAUUUAGGUUGGAUAUAAGGAAAAAAGUCUUUUACAGUGAGAGUGCUGAGGCACUGGAACAGGUUACCUAGAGAUGUGCUUGACGCCCCAUCCCUGGAGACUUUCAAGGCAAGGCUGGAUAAGGCCCUUGGUAUCCUGAACUAUCUGUGGUGUUUCUGUUCAUUGCAGGGGAGUUGGACUAGAUGGCUCUCAGAGGUUCCUUCCAACUGUAAGGAUUCUAUGAUUGUAUAAAUGAAGAAAUACAGUACCCAAUGCUAUAUUUUGAAUUUCUGCCCCUCUCAAAGUCUUAGUAUCAACAGAACGUCUUACCUUCUGUAUUUCCAGAAUUACAGUUCAAGAAGUAAGAUAGUAUACACAAGAAAGGAGGGAUGAGGCUCUCCUGGCUUUCUGUAAGCAUCUCUGGUGUUAGAGCAUACCCACAGGUUACAGGAGACCAGAUUCUGUUCUCACCCAGCUGCUGGUGGGAUGGAGUAGUUGCUUUUGUGUGGAGUUUAGAAGAUGUACUCCUACUGUUAAUUUAAUUUAAAUUCUGGAUGAUAGGAAAAAAGUUUUCCUCUGUCAUUUCUCUAACACCAGUAGCUUUAGAGGAAGCCAAGUUCUACCAGAAAACAUGAGAUAAAUGUAAUUCUGGUGACUGGAGUUAUGAUUUCUGUACUAAGUUUGUCUUAGAAGACAAGUGAAAAGAUGCUUUAUCACAGUUCAGCUUUAAAUUUUGAAGGCUUUGUCUUGUGAAACUAGGAUAUUUCACCAAAAUGCAGUUCCUUUCCUUUUAUCAUCUUCAGAGAUGAGUUAAUGGAUUAGUAUUUUUGUUAAUAUAAUUAUUACAAACAUAAAACUUAAUCUGGGCAUAAAUAAUAAAGUUUUGUUACUGAUUUUAUUUUAUUUUAUUGAGUAAUCCUCUCAAGUAUGUUUUUAAAAGAACAAGAUGCAUAAUGGAAAGCACUUUAAACAGAUUACGUCCAAAAUUUGAAACAAAAAAGUAUUGAAGUGUUU
ensembl:lncRNA